GGCAUUCCUGUACUUUCUAUAAAUGUGAUGGAGUGACGGGGGAGGAUAGCACUACCACUUAUUGGAUUGUGGGGUAAAUAGUGACUGGGUUAUGUAGGCAAAUCCGCAUAACUUAACCGGGAGAUAUGAUGCAUAGUGAAAGGGCAACUAAGUAGCGAAUUGGAUGAUUCCAUACCUCUUAAAAAAGCUUCUAACAUAUAGUUUAUGGAAACCCGUACCGAGAACGGACACACGUCCCCAAGAUGAGUAUUCUAAGGCGAGCGAGAAAACCAAUGUCAAGGAACUCUGCAAAUUCAUCCCGUAAGUUCGCAAGAAGGGAUGCCCACCCUAAAAAGUGGGCCGCAGUGAAUAGUAAGGGGGAACUGUUUAUCAAAAACACAGCUCUAUGCUAAGUCGUAAGACGAUGUAUAUGGGGUGACUCCUGCCCAGUGCCCGAAGGUUAAGCAAAGUUGUUAGCUUUAGCGAAGCAUUGAUGUGAAGCCCGGGUGAACGGCGGCCGUAACGAUAACGGUCCUAAGGUAGCGAAAUUCCUUGUCGGCUAAAUACUGACCCGCACGAAAGGAGUAAUUAUCUCUUAACUGUCUCGACAUUGGACUCGGUGAAAUUAUGGUUCCGGCGAAGACGCCGGAGACCCGCAUCUAGACGAAAAGACCGCCUAAGGUAGGACUGGUGACUGGGGUGAAGUCGGAACAAGGUAUCCCUACGAACGUGGGGAUGGAUCACCUCCUAAAAAAAAAAAAAAAGAUCG
rnacentral:rRNA from 1 species